rnacentral:rRNA from 1 species
AGGGUUUGAUCAUGGCUCAGGACGAACGCUGGCGGCGUGCUUAAGACAUGCAAGUCGUACGAGAAAGCCUCUUCGGAGGUUAGUAAAGUGGCGCACGGGUGAGUAACGCGUGGGUAAUCUGCCCUUAGGUUUGGGAUAACCCCGGGAAACCGGAGCUAAUACCGAAUAAGACCCCGAUGACCUCGGUCGAUGGGGGAAAAGGUGGCCUCUUCUUGAAAGCCAUCGCCAAAGGAUGAGCCCGCGUUUGAUUAGCUUGUUGGUGAGGUAAAGGCUCACCAAGGCUCCGAUCAAUAGCUGGUCUGAGAGGAUGAUCAGCCACACUGGAACUGAGACACGGUCCAGACUCCUACGGGAGGCAGCAGUCGGGAAUAUUGGGCAAUGGGCGCAAGCCUGACCCAGCAACGCCGCGUGAAGGAUGAAGGCCUUCGGGUCGUAAACUUCUGUCGAGAGGGAAGAAUUGCGUACGGUCAAUAUCCGUGCGUUUGACGGUACCUCCAAAGGAAGCACCGGCUAACUCCGUGCCAGCAGCCGCGGUAAUACGGAGGGUGCAAGCGUUGUUCGGAUUUAUUGGGCGUAAAGCGAGUGUAGGCGGUUUGACAAGUCGGGUGUGAAAUCCCAGGGCUCAACCCUGGAACUGCAUCCGAUACUGUCAGGCUAGAGUCCCGGAGAGGGUG